GAAAAAGAUAAUUUAUGACGUAAGCCAUAGUAGGCUAAAAAGUGUUAAGAAAUGGAAUUAUAAGUAAGUGACCGCACAGUGUAAAUCGGAGCGAGUCAUAUAUAUAUUUACGAGGUGGUAAUAAAUAUCAUCUCGCUAAUAUAAUCGGUCAAUUCGGCCAAACGGGUCAAAAGGUGAAAUUAUCACCCUUUGACAAUAUCGACUAAUGGGUUGUCAAGAUGCAUGAUUUUAGGAAAUAAAUAGCACAUGGAUGCUUACAUCGCUAUCGCUUAGCAGCCACUAAGGAAAUGUAUUGAAACGGGUCAAUAUAUUGAUCCGAGCCAGGUUCUUUUUGGAUGCCGGAAGACGAUCAAGCUCAUCGAAGGACCGAACACGAUAAAGAUACAUGCUUCCGCACAUUUCCUCGUCGUAAAUUUUUAAACGACAAAUUCGAUCACUUAUGUUGAAUAACUUAUGAUUUGUAAAAGUUUUAAUAAACUCGUAUUUUCAUAGUAUGUGUAAACUUAAUUACACAUCUAAUUGUUGGGAGGCGCGGUCGUUGUGGACAAGGAUCGUGAUUACUUUGAUUUAA
rnacentral:lncRNA from 1 species